rnacentral:lncRNA from 1 species
GGUUAUGUUUGGAUGUUGAGGACUGGAUUUGAGACUGUGUUAGUUUGUGUGGAUUCACUGUUAAAAGAGAAUGACGAAUGAGGAUUAGCCAUGACUAUAUGUGUUUGUUUGGAUGGAUGUGGAUGAAAAAGGUGAUGCGAAUUAGCGGGAUAAGCCCCUUAUUUUAUUUCAUCUCACUUCAUGUGAUAAGAUUUACGGGUGAAUGAUGUUAUUUUGCAAAAUUAACCUCACAAAAACAUCACAUAGGAACUGCUCUUGGUUUGUGGUGAAGAAUUCAUGAAAGACGAAGGGUGAGUUGGGUUGUCCAAUAAACACGACAAUAAUGAUGAACCGGAAUGACAUGGAUGAAAACUACUAUAACUUGAACAAUUAAGGAAUCAAUACGAGUUUUUGGAACUAAUUCUAUGAGUUCUUGAGAUGUGAUUAAAUUGGUUCUGGAUUUGUUGGAAUCAAUUACAUAAUAUCAUAUUGGGCGAUGAAA